rnacentral:lncRNA from 1 species
UGACGCCUAGCUUGUCCGUUUGCAAUGUGACAUGAGUGGAGUGGCCUAUUUGUGUGCGAUGGGACACGCACGCAGACCGACCUCAUGCCCCACGUGGACGGGACGUGCGCACAGUGCGCACCUCUAGUGUUGGCCACGCACAAGCACACGCGCUCGUUGUGUGAUGCCUGAGCAGUCAUGUCUUUCCCCUAGGUGUUUUCCUGUGGGUUUUCCGCCCCAUU